UGCCUUUGGUUCCGACUUGUCUGUAUCCUGCAGAAUAGACAGAUCAACCUGCUAGAGAAGGAAACGGAGAGAGAGAAGGAGGGAGAGAGAGAGACAGAGAGACAGAGACCGGGGAGGGAGGGGCGAGAGAAGGAGAGAGUUUUGAAGUCCCCCUGGCUUUGAGUUUCCCGUCCCUGGACAGGCAAAGGGAAGGGUCAGGCACCUGCCCUCAGCUCCUAGGGGACUCUCAGGAGCAUCCUUGUCUGCCUAGAUCUGCUGUGGCGAAGAGCUUCACUGGACCUGAGCCUCCGGAUGAAAAAUGGAGGCUUAGAGAGGUGGUUUGAUGUAGGAGGAAGAGCUCAGAACUUGGAACCAGAGACCUGCAUUCUCUAGCUCUCAUCCUCACCAGCAAUGCCACGUUGGAAGAGCCCCUCCGAGGCAGCAUGUUGUACUGGAAAGAGAACAUGAUUUGGAAUCCAGUGUAAGGUUGGAGUCCAAGCUUAGAUACUCAUACCUGUCUGGCCUUGGGCAAAUCACUCAGACUGCCUGGGACCCAGACCUCUUUAAAAAUGGCAAGUUUUUUCACCCUGAGACUCAGUUUCCUCAUCUGUAAAAUUAGGAGUUGGAUGAGAUGACUUUUAAAAUCCUUUCCAGAC
rnacentral:lncRNA from 1 species